UGGCGGACGGGUGAGUAAUGUCUGGGAAACUGCCCGAUGGAGGGGGAUAACUACUGGAAACGGUAGCUAAUACCGCAUAACGUCGCAAGACCAAAGAGGGGGACCUUCGGGCCUCUUGCCAUCGGAUGUGCCCAGACGGGAUUAGCUAGUAGGUGGGGUAACGGCUCACCUAGGCGACGAUCCCUAGCUGGUCUGAGAGGAUGACCAGCCACACUGGAACUGAGACACGGUCCAG
rnacentral:rRNA from 1 species